rnacentral:rRNA from 1 species
GAUGAACGCUAGCUACAGGCUUAACACAUGCAAGUCGCGGGGCAGCAUGGGGGUUGCUUGCAAUCCCCGAUGGCGACCGGCGCACGGGUGAGUAACGCGUAUCCAACCUGCCCUUCACCACGGGAUAACCCGGCGAAAGUCGGACUAAUACCGUAUGUUGUCCAUUGACGGCAUCCGAUUUGGACGAAAGGCUUGGCGGUGAGGGACGGGGAUGCGUCCGAUUAGCCAGACGGCGGGGUAACGGCCCACCGUGGCUACGAUCGGUAGGGGUUCUGAGAGGAAGGUCCCCCACACUGGAACUGAGACACGGUCCAGACUCCUACGGGAGGCAGCAGUGAGGAAUAUUGGUCAAUGGGCGUAAGCCUGAACCAGCCAAGUAGCGUGCAGGAUGACGGCCCUAUGGGUUGUAAACUGCUUUUAUGCGGGGAUAAAGUGGCCCACGUGUGGGCUUUUGCAGGUACCGCAUGAAUAAGGACCGGCUAAUUCCGUG